GACGAACGCUGGCGGCGUGCCUAAUACAUGCAAGUAGAACGCAGUUGCGAACGGGUGAGUAACGCGUAGGUAACUGCCUCAUAGCGGGGGAAAACUAUUGGAAACGAUAGCUAAUACCGCAUACUGUGAGAUGGACCUGCGUUGUAUUAGCUAGUUGGUGAGGUAAAGGCUCACCAAGGCGCCGAUACAUAGCCGACCUGGGAGGGUGAGCGGCCAAACUGGGACUGGGGCCCGGGUCCGAAUUCCAAGGGAGGGAGCAGUAGGGGAUCAUCGGCAAUGGGCGGAAAUCUGACCGCGCCAAGGCGCGGGAGUGGAGAAGGUUUUUGGAUCGUAAAGCUCUGUUGUUAGAGAAGCGGUAACUAACGAGAAAGGGCCGGCUAACUACGUGCCAGCAGCCGCGGUAAUAC
rnacentral:rRNA from 1 species